GAUGAACGCUAGCUACAGGCUUAACACAUGCAAGUCGAGGGGCAGCAUGAACUUAGCUUGCUAAGUUUGAUGGCGACCGGCGCACGGGUGAGUAACACGUAUCCAACCUGCCGAUGACUCGGGGAUAGCCUUUCGAAAGAAAGAUUAAUACCCGAUGGCAUAGUUCUUCCGCAUGGUAGAACUAUUAAAGAAUUUCGGUCAUCGAUGGGGAUGCGUUCCAUUAGGUUGUUGGCGGGGUAACGGCCCACCAAGCCUUCGAUGGAUAGGGGUUCUGAGAGGAAGGGCCCCCAGAGGGGAACCGAGAAACGGGCCAAAGUCCUACGGGAGGCAGCAGUGAGGAAGAUUGGUGAAUGGACGAGAGUCUGAACCAGCCAAGUAGCGUGAAGGAAGGCUGCCCGAGGGGUGGUAAACUUCUUUUAUACGGGAAUAAAGUGAGGCACGUGUGCCUUUUUGUAUGUACCGUAUGAAUAAGGAUCGGCUAACUCCGUG
rnacentral:rRNA from 1 species